rnacentral:misc_RNA from 1 species
GAUGAAGAACGCAGCGAAAUGCGAUAAGUAAUGCGAAUUGCAGAAUUUCCGUGAGUCAUCGAAUCUUUGAACGCACAUUGCGCCCGCUGGUAUUCCGGCGGGCAUGCCUGUUCGAGCGUCAUUUCAACCCUCAAGCUUCCCGGAGUUUGGCGUUGGGGCGCCUGGAGUUUUUCAACCUCAGGGCCCUCAAGUCCAUCGGCGGGACCGCCCGGACACUGAGCGCAGUAGUACUAUUUCGCUCGGUGGAAUCAUCCGCGGCGGGUCGAUCCGGCCGCUAAACCCCCCAAAUCUAACCAAAGGUUGACCUCGGAUCAGGUAGGAAUACCCGCUGAACUUAAGCAUAUCAAUAAGCGGAGGA